rnacentral:pre_miRNA from 1 species
UAAAACUUGGAAACUAUCAUUAGAUCGAAAAAUAAACGUCUAAGAUUUGUCCAUGUCAUCACGAGUAAAAAUUUUACUUAUGGUGAUGUGGACGAAUCUCGAACGUCCAUUUUUCGAUCCAACGAUAGUUUCUAAGUUUCU